UUGUAUAGGUAAUUAUUUAAUAGAAGCAAUUCUUUAUUUGGCCAAGAUGGACCAAGAUUUUUUCCUUCUAGAAGACAGGAUAUGAAGAUCUUUACACUUGUGGGCAAAAUUGCUCCAUGCUACUGAAACACAAGAAGAUUUUGCAGUCACAUCAUGCUAUAAAAAUGAAAUUAUUGGAUUUCAACUUCUAAGGAGUGGCGUGAUUGGUGUUCACCAAAGAUUCAGCAUAGUGUAUUAUAACUUGAAAACUCUAAAAAAAGCCACAGACAGGGAGCCAAUAUUAGGUGAAUACUAUCGAUAUGUUGAAAAUGAUGAAACAAUAGUUCUAAUGGGACGGAAUCUUUUCAUUAUUCGCAAAAUCCUUAGAAGCGCACAAUAUGCAAUGCAAACAAUAUUUGCAUGUAUCAAAAACUUUAUUUUAAAGUCUGAUGAGUUAUAUUUGGUUACAAUGGAUGACAGAAUAUUUGUCUGCGAUUUAUUAGAGGAAAAGUUAAAUUGCACUUUGGUGAUGGCAAUGCCAGCCAACGUAAAGUGUCUAGAAUGUGUGAAUGGACGACUAAGUGUGCUGACAGCGGAUGACCGUAUUUUCAUUAUUUCAAACAAUAGAGUAAUUUCUCAAUUUAAUUUGCAUGACAAAUGCAAUGCACUGGAUAUGUUAAGGCAGUAUAAUUUAUUAAAUCAUCCGUAUUGGUGUAACUCUGCAUGGUAUGUAGAGUGGGAUCUGAAAGUGGUUAAAAUAUAUGGGGACAUGGUCUUCGUAGGCACACGCUUUGGUGUUCUUAAGAUAUACCAUUACCCUUAUGUAAAUAAUGAAUUGAAUUUGGACAUCUCAAAGCCAAUAAAGCAAUAUGAAAUACAUGAAACACCCGUUUCUCCACAAUGCCAUGACAAGAAUCAAAUUAUACACAUAGAUAUUGUGGAGGAGUGCAAUGGUCACAAAGUUUUUGUUGGUACACUAGAAAAGAUUGUGGUUAUUAAAUUUUCUCAUAAAAACCAUUAUAAUGUAUCACAUGAUCAAAAUUAAUUUGUUGAAGAUGAUGAAUGUUUCAUAAUGUUUUUUUCUGUUGUCAAAAUAAUCUAGAAAAAAGCAGGCUUCAAAAAAAAAGCAAGAUCAGAAGCAAGACCAAGGUCAUGCGGGAUAAAAGAGAUAAGUGGACCAGGGAUGUAACAGAGUGGUAUCCUAGAACAGGAAAAAGGAAAAGAGGUUGCCCCUGCCAAAGAUGGGAGGAUGACCUCAGACAGACAGCAGGAAGCACAUGGAGAAGGAAAGCAAGAGACAUUCAUUUGUCUUUAGGAGGCCUAUGCCCAAAGGCAAGCCAAAGAAAGUACUAUCAGUGUCAAAGAUAUAUUACAAUAAUAUUAUGUAAAAAAA
rnacentral:misc_RNA from 1 species